ensembl:lncRNA
GGCUGCUGCUGGGGGCUUGUAGCUAGGAUGUUGCUGCUGCUGGGGCUUGUAGCUAGGAUGUUGCUGCUGCUGGGGCUUGUAGCUAGGAUGUUGCUGCUGCUGGGGCUUGUAGCUAGGAUGUUGCUGCUGCUGCUGCUGCUCGUAGUUUGGGGGCUUCUGCUGGUGUUCAGGAAGCUGAUAGCUAGAUACUAAAGAUCUAAUAAAAAGACUCCACACUGAACUGUAGCGUUGCAUUAGACCAAAGCAGCGGCUCCUGAAAAGGCAUCAAAAUGGGUUUCUGCAUUUGCUGCUGGCAUUCAGCCUAGCCAAUGACCAAUUUGACCAUUUAAAAGUGAUAUUUUUAUUCUUUUGUCAAAUUUGGACAGUAGAACCAUGUCAUGGCAGGAACACAAUUGAGAACUUUAUAUCAUUGAAGGAUUUGAUGGAAUUUUCAAUGAAGCAAAAGGUACAGAAUGCAAACUUCUCAACUUCUGAGUUGCUGUUGGGGCUUGUAGCUAGGAUGCUUGUAGCUUGGAUGCUGCGGCUGGGGCUUGUAGCUGGGCUGCUGCUGGGGCUGCUGCGGCUUGUAGCUAGGAUGUUGCUGCGGCUGCUGCUGCUGGGGCUUGUAGCUAGGAUGUUGCUGCUGCUGCUGCUGGGGCUUGUAGCUAGGAUGUUGCUGCUGCUGCUGCUGCUGCUGCUGCUGCUGCUGCUGGGGCUUGUAGCUAGGAUGUUCCUGCUGCUGGGGCUUGUAGCUAGGAUGAUGUUGCUGCUGCUGCUGCUGGGGCUUGUAGCUAGGAUGUUGCUGCUGCUGCUGGGGGCUUGUAGCUGGGAUGUUGCUGCUGCUGCUGGGGCUGGGGCUUGUAGCUAGGAUGUUGCUGCUGCUGCUGGGGCUUGUAGCUAGGAUGUUGCUGCUGCUGCUGCUGGGGCUUUGUAGCUAGGAUGCUGCUGCUGCUGCUGGGGCUUGUAGCUAGGAUGAUGCUGCUGCUGCUGCUGGGGCUUGUAGCUAGGAUGCUGCUGCUGCUGCUGCGGCUUGUAGCUAGGAUGCUUCUGCUGGGGCUUGUAGCUAGGAUGCUGCUGCUGGGGG